AACGAUACAAAUACAACAACGAUGCUCGUGUGAACUUAGUAAAAGAUUAAGAUACGUAUGGCAUGCAAUUAGAGUUAUAUAUAACUGAUCAGGGAUUUACAAGAUGAUAUGAGAUCUAGCAUUUGUUGUAGAUUCUCGAGUUGUAUGUAUCAUUGGUUUAGCCUGAACUGGUAACCUCAAUAUGAUGUUAGCUUGUGUGAGCAACCUUGAUCUUUGUCAGCUUGUGUGAGUAAAACAUUCUCGUGUAUCUAAA
rnacentral:lncRNA from 1 species